AUACGCGCUCCAGCUAUCUCAAAAAAGCUCUCUGUUUCCCUCUCUCACUAUCUCCUCCAUCUUAUAGAGCUCUAACAUAGGCGAUUAAAUCCUCUCUCUCUCAUCCCACUCCUACCUAUUCUCUUUUGAUAGAAUUCUCUCCGUCAACAUCACCAGCGAAAUAUGUCUUGAAUAAUACCCAUUCGACUUCUCAGGGGGAUUCAAAGGUGAUUUUGGGAUUUUUUUGAAGAAAUUUCAAUCAAAAUCAACUUCCAACAAGUGAUUUGAAUCUUCAUUACAAGUUGGAUGAGUUGGAUCAAAUGGAAAAGGACAUUGUCAUUAUAUUAUGCAAACUGGAAUGGAUAUUUCCCCCAGCCUUUUUUGACGGAAAGGUCCACUUAGCAAUUCACCUUCCUCGUGAGGCCAUCCUUGCUGGACCAGUGUAAUAUCGGUGGAUGUAUCCAAUAGAAAGGUUCUUACAUUCUUUAAAGACAACGGUUCGAAAUAAAGCCAAACCAGAGGGAUCAAUUGCUGAGGCAUAUAUUGACAAAGAAUGUUUGACUUUUUGUUCAAUGUAUCUCAAAGGGGUUAAGACAGUGUUUAAUCGAGAUGAACGGAAUUACGAUGGCAGUCGAGGAAAUAAAGGUCAGGACCUUUUUGUUUUUAUGCAAGAUAUACGUCCUUUGGGAGCACCGACCUAUUUCAAUAUGCCAUUUAAUGAUCUUGAUAAGGUUCGAAUGUAUGUGUUGAAUAAUUGUGAUGAAGUUCUGCCUUAUUUGAAGUUCUGCCUUAUUAGAAGAAGACCUUGAGUUGUACUGGAAUAAAAAGAAUGAGGCUAGUAAUUCUAUUAACAUUUUUUAAUAACUUAACCUACAAUAGAAUUAAAU